GCCCUCUUUUGAAACCCUUUUUAUUUUUGAGGGUGGCAUGGGUGGGGAUCAGUUAUGCGAGGCUGGUCCCAGCUGACCUCAUUUGCAUUGGGGGCAACUCAACUAUAGUGAUUGGGUGGAUUCAAAGACAGUCUAGGGUGGUAGAUGGACACCAUCUUCUGCAAGACAAUUGGAGGAUGGCGAGGGAUUGUGUCACCUUGUGUGCCAGGAUGUCUACUAGGAGGCAAAUAGGGGCUGCAGAUUGGGUGGCCUUCCACGUGGCACCACUUUGGUGAAGUGCUAUGGGCCAAUUUUGCGAUUGCUUUGGUUGCCAUCCAUGAUAUUUUAUUUUUUGAUUUUAUUGGAUUUAUUCAUAAUAAAUCAAUGUGAUUUAUAUGUUCUAUCAAAAAAAAAGAAAACCCUUUUUACUAGUCCACAUUUUCAGUUCCAACCUAGUUCCGUGACCAAAAAAGUAAGAAUUAUGCAAAAUCCCAUCAAGCAACUGGCAAGGUGCAAGUAAUUCAAGAGAAGAUCCUAGAAAAGAGGGGUUCCCCCAACGAGCCCUUAUAAGGAGAGGAACACCUCCACAUCAACACCAAGAAGACCAAAACCAACCACCCUAAACCUUUUGGUACAACAUGGUUCAAGUCAGCAAAGUUUUGAUCCAAACUUGGAGGCAUAGAU
rnacentral:lncRNA from 1 species